GACACGGCCCAAACUCCUACGGGAGGCAGCAGUGGGGAAUAUUGGACAAUGGGCGCAAGCCUGAUCCAGCCAUGCCGCGUGAGUGAUGACGGCCCUAGGGUUGUAAAGCUCUUUCACCCACGACGAUAAUGACGGUAGUGGGAGAAGAAGCCCCGGCUAACUUCGUGCCAGCAGCCGCGGUAAUACGAAGGGGGCUAGCGUUGUUCGGAUUUACUGGGCGUAAAGCGCGCGUAGGCGGAUCUUUAAGUCAGGGGUGAAAUGCCGGAGCUCAACUUCGGAACUGCCUUUGAUACUGGAGAUCUUGAGUUCGGGAGAGGUGAGUGGAACUGCGAGUGUAGAGGUGAAAUUCGUAGAUAUUCGCAAGAACACCAGUGGCGAAGGCGGCUCACUGGCCCGAUACUGACGCUGAGGCGCGAAAGCGUGGGGAGCAAACAGGAUUAGAUACCCUGGUAGUCCACGCCGUAAACGAUGGAUGCUAGCCGUUAGGCAGCUUGCUGCUUAGCGGCGCAGCUAACGCUUUAAGCAUCCCGCCUGGGGAGUACGGUCGCAAGAUUAAAACUCAAAUGAAUUGACGG
rnacentral:rRNA from 1 species